rnacentral:rRNA from 1 species
AUUGAACGCUGGCGGCAGGCCUAACACAUGCAAGUCGAACGGUAACAGGAAGAAGCUUGCUUCUUUGCUGACGAGUGGCGGACGGGUGAGUAAUGUCUGGGAAACUGCCUGAUGGAGGGGGAUAACUACUGGAAACGGUAGCUAAUACCGCAUAACGUCGCAAGACCAAAGAGGGGGACCUUCGGGCCUCUUGCCAUCGGAUGUGCCCAGAUGGGAUUAGCUAGUUGGUGGGGUAACGGCUCACCAAGGCGACGAUCCCUAGCUGGUCUGAGAGGAUGACCAGCCACACUGGAACUGAGACACGGUCCAGACUCCUACGGGAGGCAGCAGUGGGGAAUAUUGCACAAUGGGCGCAAGCCUGAUGCAGCAAUGCCGCGUGUAUGAAGAAGGCCUUCGGGUUGUAAAGUACUUUCAGCGAGGAGGAAGGCGGUAAGGUUAAUAACCUUAUCGAUUGACGUUACUCGCAGAAGAAGCACCGGCUAACUCCGUGCCAGCCGCCGCCGUAA